AAGCCAUCAUCCUCCAAGUACCAUGUUUUUAGUCAAAAGACUGGAUACCACAUCUGUUUCUCACUAAUCGUGUUAUCAAAUAGAGAAGUAUGACCAGCAAAUGCUGCCCACUUUUGAAAAACCAGACCUCGCAAGAACUGUGCAG
rnacentral:lncRNA from 14 species